AUCAGGCUCCAGAUAUGAACUUUCAGCAGAAGCGCUUGCCGGGAGCAAAGGGACAGAAAAGCUGAGAUGAACAGGUGCUCCGAGCCUCGCAUCCCCCGGCCGGGGGCAGCUGGAGGUGCCUCAGAAGCAGCAGCCCCGGUUGUUGCACUCCUUGGGGGUGACAUGGGGGUAGCCGCAGUCCACCCUGUCCUUGGCUGGCACGGCACACUGGUUUGCAGCUCGCUCUGGCAGCCAUGACCACCGUGGGCUCCGGGACGCAGCUCAGGACUCGCUUCAUGGUCCAGGAGGCCUCAUU
rnacentral:lncRNA from 1 species